AGUGAACGCUGGCGGCAGGCCUAACACAUGCAAGUCGAGCGGCAGCGCGGGGGCAACCCUGGCGGCGAGCGGCGGACGGGUGAGGAAUUCGUCGGAAUCUGCCUUUUUGUGGGGGAUAACGUAGGGAAACUUACGCUAAUACCGCAUACGUCCUACGGGAGAAAGUGGGGGACCGCAAGGCCUCACGCAGAAAGAUGAGCCGACGACCGAUUAGCUAGUUGGUGGGGUAAAGGCCCACCAAGGCGACGAUCGGUAGCUGGUCUGAGAGGAUGAUCAGCCACACUGGGACUGAGACACGGCACAGACUCCUACGGGAGGCAGCAGUGGGGAAUAUUGGACAAUGGGCGCAAGCCUGAUCCAGCCAUGCCGCGUGUGUGAAGAAGGCCUUCGGGUUGUAAAGCACUUUUGUCCGGAAAGAAAUCCCUGGAGCUAAUACCUUCGGGGGAUGACGGUACCGGAAGAAUAAGCACCGGCUAACUUCGUG
rnacentral:rRNA from 1 species